AUGGCAGAGGCAGCCCUCUUCCAUCAAUAUCACCAAGAGAGAGCAAUUGAGGGUGUUGAGGACCUAGAACCUGGUGACCUGAUAGAAAUCUUCCGUGAUAACUGUCAGCACUGGGCUGUGUACAUUGGUGAUAGAUACAUUGUUGAGUUGGUUGCUCUUGGCAAUUCUAGGAUUUCGCAAGUCGUAUCAGUAGUGCCAGGUGAAGUGAGAAAGAUAAAACUCCAAGAUGUGGUCAACCAAGACAAGUGGAAAAAAAAUAAUGAAAAACAUCCAAACUACAACAGCAAGUUGAAACCCAGGCCAAAGAAAGAAAUUGUGAAAGAAGCCCUUUCACGUGUGGGGAAGACUCAGUACAAUGUUGCUACUUGGAACUGUGAGCACUUUGCCACCGAGUGCCGUUAUGGCACAGCUCUGUCUCUACAGGUAUGUAGAUGGAUGGUUUAAAUGGAUAAUUUA